UCCGGAGGGGGCUAGCGUUGUUCGGAAUUACUGGGCGUAAAGCGCGCGUAGGCGGCUUAGCAAGUUAGAGGUGAAAGCCCGAAGCUCAACUUCGGAAUUGCCUUUAAAACUGCAAAGCUAGAAUCAUGGAGAGGUGAGUGGAAUUCCGAGUGUAGAGGUGAAAUUCGUAGAUAUUCGGAAGAACACCAGUGGCGAAGGCGACUCACUGGACAUGUAUUGACGCUGAGGUGCGAAAGCGUGGGGAGCAAACAGG
rnacentral:rRNA from 1 species